UACGGAGGGUGCGAGCGUUGUCCGGAAUCACUGGGCGUAAAGGGCGCGUAGGCGGCGCGAGCAGUCGAUCGUGAAAGUCCGGAGCUCAACUCCGGAUCGGCGGUCGAUACUCUCGUGCUUGAGCACUGUAGAGGCAGAUGGAAUUCCGGGUGUAGCGGUGGAAUGCGUAGAGAUCCGGAAGAACACCGGUGGCGAAGGCGGCAUCCUGGACCGACAUUGACGCUGAAAGCCGAAAGCUAGGGGAGCAAACGGG
rnacentral:rRNA from 1 species